UGGGGAAUAUUGCACAAUGGGCGGAAGCCUGAUGCAGCAACGCCGCGUGAGUGAUGAAGGCCUUCGGGUUGUAAAGCUCUGUCUUUUGGGACGAUAAUGACGGUACCAAAGGAGGAAGCCACGGCUAACUACGUGCCAGCAGCCGCGGUAAUACGUAGGUGGCAAGCGUUGUCCGGAUUUACUGGGCGUAAAGGAUGCGUAGGCGGAUUUUUAAGUGAGAUGUGAAAUACCGGCGUAUACUUGGGUGCUGCAUUUCAAACUGGGAAUCUAGAAGUGCGGGAGAGGAGAAUGGAAUUCCUAGUGUAGCGGUGAAAUGCGUAGAAGAUUAGGAAGAACACCAGUGGCGAAGGCGAUUCUCUGGACCGUAACUGACGCUGAGGCAUGAAAGCGUGGGUAGCAAACAGGAUUAGAUACCUCGUAGUCCACGCCGUAAACGAUGAGUACUAGGUGUAGGAGGUAUCGACCCCUUCUGUGCCGC
rnacentral:rRNA from 1 species